rnacentral:rRNA from 1 species
AUUGAACGCUGGCGGCAGGCCUAACACAUGCAAGUCGAGCGGAGCGGCGGACGGGUGAGUAACGCCUAGAUAUCUACCUGGUAGUGGGGGCUAACGUCCGGAAACGAGCGGUAAUCCCGCCUACUAACAGAUGAGCCUAGGUCGGAUUAGCUAGUUGGUGGGGUAAAGGCCUACCAAGGCUACGAGCCGUAACUGGUCUGAGUGGAGGAUCGGUCACACGGGAACUGAGACACGCUCGAGACUCCUACGGGAGGCAGAAGGGGGGAAUAUUGGACAAGGGGCGAAAGCCUGAUGCAGCCAUGCGGCGGGUAGGAAGAAGGCCUUGGGGUUGUAAAGUACUUUCAGCGGGGAGGCGUUACCCGCAGAAGAAGCACCGGCUAACUCCGUGCCAGCAGCCGCGGUAAUUC